CCUACGGGUGGCAGCAGUGGGGAAUAUUGGACAAUGGGCGAAAGCCUGAUCCAGCCAUGCCGCGUGUGUGAAGAAGGCCUUCGGGUUGUAAAGCACUUUCAGUGGGGAAGAAAGCCUUGGGGCUAAUACCCUCGAGGAAGGACAUCACCCACAGAAGAAGCACCGGCUAACUCCGUGCCAGCAGCCGCGGUAAUACGGAGGGUGCGAGCGUUAAUCGGAAUUACUGGGCGUAAAGCGCGCGUAGGCGGUCUGAUAAGCCGGUUGUGAAAGCCCCGGGCUCAACCUGGGAACGGCAUCCGGAACUGUCAGGCUAGAGUGCAGGAGAGGAAAGUAGAAUUCCCGGUGUAGCGGUGAAAUGCGUAGAGAUCGGGAGGAAUACCAGUGGCGAAGGCGGCCUUCUGGACUGACACUGACGCUGAGGUGCGAAAGCGUGGGUAGCAAACAGGAUUACAUACCCCGGUAGUC
rnacentral:rRNA from 1 species